rnacentral:tRNA from 1 species
GCAUUUGUAGCUCAGCGGUAGAGUGCUCACCUAGCACGUGUGAGGCCCUGGGUUCGAUUCUUAGCAACA